GAGAGGUUUAUUAGUGUUUUUACGCUGUAGUGAUGGUUGUAAGAUCAAACUUCUUAUCUCUUUAAAAAUCUUGCUUGUCUUUUGAUUUUAUUCGCUCUGUAGGUUAUUAGCAUUAUUAGCAUAUUUCUUAGAACUUGUUUCCCGUUAAUUUUUGUUCAUUGCUUGUUAGCUCUAAUGGGAAUAUUUCUUCUGAUACCUAAUUAUUUUAAAAGAAAAUGUUUAAGAGUAGCUUAACAAGAAGAAUUGCUAGAAGCAGUUGGUUUGCAUUUUUGCCUCUGAGGAAAAAGUAGUAAAUGGAACAUAAAAUUUUAGGAGAGUUUUUAUUUUGUGCAAAGAUCAGACUAAUGUAAUAUAUUUUGUCCUCGGAUUUGUGUUUAAAUGAAAAAUUUCAAGUUAUUUAGGUAAUUAUGACAGUUUAGAGGUGUGAUAGCCUGCCUAGAGACUCAUUGGAUAGAAUUGGAAGUCACAGUAAUGAUUAUGUCACCAGUAAUUAAAGAUGCAUAUUCAGUGGCAUAAUGCUUUUAGAGAAUUCUGAUACAUUAUAUUCACUAAACUAAAACUUCUACUUGACCUGCUAUUUCAGGAGCACUCAUAGACUGUUGACCUUAGAAACCUGGAGAUCUAUUUCUGUUUAUUCAACAAUGAAUAAUUAAAGAAUUUUGUAAACUAUUAAGAUGAUUACAUAUGACAUAGCUAAGACAGAUACUUUCCCCAAAAGAUAAGGAUUCUGAGGGAUUUCAUUGAAGGUUUCUUUAGCAAAAUUUUAGUGUGGUCCAUUCAUUGAUGGAGGCCCGUGAUCUCUUAAUAAUGGUAAGAUUUCUCAGUGAAACCAAAUCACUAUUUGUCUUUUUUCUUUCAUAUUAGUUUUUUAAUCUCCUGUUAGCAUUAUUAAUUCAUUUUAGUGGUUCAAGGGAGAAGGAAUGUGUUAAUGUAGUGAGUAGAUAAUUAAGAAUUAUGCACUUGAGGAAGUCAUAUGUAUGAAUAUUUUUAUAACAUAAAAUUACAUACUUCAGGCCAGGCAUGGUGGCUCACACCUAUAAUCCCAGCACUUUGGGAGGCCAAGGUGGGUGGAUCAUUUGUGGUGAGGCAUUUGAGACCAGCCUGGCCAGCAUAACAAAACCCCAUCUCUACUAAAAAUACAAAAAUUAGCAGAGUGUGGUGGUGUGUGCCUGUAAUCUCAGCUAUUUGGGUGCCAAGGCAAGAGAAUCUUUUGAACCUGGGAGGUGGAGGUCAUAUUUAUCCAAGAUUGACCUCAGGUGAUCCACCUGCCUUGACCUCUCAAAGUGCUGGGUUUACAGGCGUGAGCCACUGCACUCCAUCCUGGGCGAUGGAGUGAGACUUUGUCUCAAAAAAAAAAAAAAAAAAAAACAGGGCCGGGCGAAGUGGCUCACGCCUGUAAUCCCAGCACUUUGGGAGGCCGAGGUGGGUGGAUCACGAGGUCAAGAGAUUGAGACCAUCCUGGUCAACAUGGUGAAACCCUGUCUCUACUAAAAAUACAAAAAAUUAGCUGGGCAUGGUGGUGCAUGCCUGUAAUCCCAGCUAUUCGGGAGGCUGAGGCAGGAGAAUUGCCUGAACCCAGGAGGCGGAGGUUGCGGUGAGCCAAGAUGGCGCCAUUGCACUCCAGCCUGGGUAACAAGAGCAAAACUCCGUCUAAAAAUAAACAAAAACAAACAAAAAACAUAUAUAUGUGUGUGUGUACUAUAUAUGUAUGCAUAUAUGUAUGUAUACUUCAUUUAAUAGAAUUUAAGGCGCUGACAGUUAUGAUGUAUACUAUUACGUACAACUAGAAAAUAAAAAAUAUUCUCCAUUAAUUUUAAGGCUUUGAUUUUAAGACACAGUCCACUUUCAUGUAUAUGAAAAUGGGAGGAAGGCUGGGUGCAGUGUCUCAUGCCUGUAAUCCCAGCACUUUGAGAGGCCAAGGUGGGUGGAUUGCCUGAGAUCAGGAGUUUGAGAGCAGCCUGGCCUACAUGGUGAAACCCUGUCUCUACUGAAAAGACAAAAACUUACCUGGUGUGGUGGUGGGUGCGUAUAAUCCCAGCUGCUUGGGAGGCUGAGGCAGGAGAAUUGCUUGAACCCAGCAGGCAGAGGUUGUAGUGAGCUGAAAUCGCACCAUUGCACUCCAGCCUGGGCCACAAGAGGGAAAAAAAAAAACUGGGUGGGGGGAGGUAUACCUGGAAUAGAUGAAAAUUCAAAUUUUUUUUCUCUCAGUAUCUUGGACUAAUUUUUUUCAAGUGAGUCUUUUCUUUACCUUGUACAAUGAAAUGUUUUCUUAAUUUUUUUUUCACUUGGUUAUUUGAAUGAAGAAAAGUGUAGCAACAAUUAUCUGAACUUAUUUUUGUUGCAACAUUUAUUGCAUAGAAUAAAGCUAGCAAAAAUAAAAGGCUUGGUUAACAAAAGAAACCGUGUGGUUUAGUAAUUUGCUUAUGAAACAGCAUCUUCUCCCUGAAGACCCGUUCCUGCCCCACAGAAAGUCCUCAGAAAGCAUGUACUAUUAUUUAGUCUUAUUCCAGUAGUAUUCUUUAUAAUGGAAUUUAUCUGCUUAGCUCAGGAGAUAAAAAAGCUACAAAUCAGUAGCAGUUAGAAAUACAAACUUGAGGCUGGGCGUGGUGGCUUACGCAGGUAAUCCCAGCAUUGGGGAGGCUGAGGCAGGAGGUGGAUCACUUGAGGUCAGGAAUUUGAGACCAGCCUGAUUAACAUGAUGAAAUCUCAUCUCCACUAAAAAUACAAAAAAUUAGCUGGUCGUGGUGGUGCAUGAAGCUGUGGCAGGAGAAUCGCUUGAACCAAGGAGGCAGAGGUUGCAGUGAGCCAAGAUCACAUUAUUGCACUCCAGCCUGGAUGACAGAGCAAGAUUCCAUCUCAAAAAAAAAAAUUAGUAUGAAGUGACAGUUUAUCACAAAUAUUAAAAAAUGACAAGUAUUCUAGAGCCAUGAGAAAUAGCUCUCAGUCUUACAUAUUUUAAGUAUAUUAUAAUCAGCCUGAUAAUCAGGAAAGAUUAAGUUAUUCUAAAAUUUAUUCAUUAAAUAAUUCAAUAAGGGUCUGCUGUGUACUUGGUGAAAAAGAUCAUCUUAGUUCCUGAAUUCACACAGCUUAAUUUGGAGAGGAAGACAGAGGAGUUGUAAGUGCCUUUGUCAAGAAGAGAAGCACAGUGUGCUUUGAAGCAUAGUGUCAGGUGGAACUGAUUGAGUCUGAGGAGUCAGAGAAGAUUGUCUGGAACAAGGGUCAUUUAAUCUGAGUCCUGAGAAGAAUUUACUAGAUACGGGAUGGGUGGAGAAUGGGAAUGUAGGGAGAGCAUUGUUGACAGAGGCAACAGUAUGUGGAAAUAGACAAAGACAGGAAAGGUCAUGGCAUCAAAUUCUUGGUCAAACUUCUUUCUUAAAUUUCUUGACAUUGUCCGCUAGACUAUAAGCUGCAGGAAGGAGGCCAUGUUUACUUCUUUAUACCCAGCACAUAGCACAAUGCCUAUCAUGUAAAAGUUGAUAAAAUUAAGUAACAUGAUAGGUAAGGCCCUUUCUUAACCAGAUGGUUUUCAGCUUCUUCAGUCUUAAUUCUAGCCAUUCUUCCUCCUGCAGAAUCUUUAUCUGUAAUGAUUUCUCAAAUACCGUUUGCUCUCUCUACUUUCAUACCUUUGCUGCUGCUUUCUGCUCUAUCUGGGAUGUCCUUUAUUUUGCCACUGGAAAUCUUUGACUCACCCUUUAAGUCUUUCACAAGAGCUAUCAUCUAUGAACAGCCUUCUUUUUUUCCCUUAUGUAGAUAAAGAUGUUCUUUAUAGCACUUUCAAUGUGUCUCCUUAUGAAGAAUUAGGCGCAUUAUAUUCUAGUUGUGGAUUUGCUUCCUGUCUCUCUGCCAGACUUGAAACUAUCAGCUCUUUAGGAAUGAAGACUCGAUUUUUUCGUUUUGUACAUCUCCAACACCAAGUAUAGUGUUUGGCUUACAGUCCAAGCUUAAAAUAUGUGAUGAAUUAAAUAUUGGUCGUAUGCAAUUUUAAAUAAUAAAUAAUGCAGCCUUAUCGCUCAUAGUCCAAAAGUAUAAAACAUUAUAUAAUGAAAAGUAUUCUUCCUAUCCUUGCCUUCCCAUCUCCUCAAUUUCCACUUAUCCCAGUAGGAAAUCAGUAUCUUGCUUAUGUAUUCUCCCAAAGAUUCUUUUUCGUAUACAAGAAAAUACAAUUAUAGAUUCUUAUUUCCUGUUUUUAACACAAUGGGCAGCUUAUACAUGUCUUUUCAUCUCAGGACAUAAGGAUUUCCCUUGUUCGUUAUUUUAAAGCUGCAGUGUUCCUUUUGAUGAAUGCACUGUAUUUAAUAGUUUCAGACUUUCCAGUCUUUUGCUGUUACAAACAGUGCCGUAUUUGAAUUCGUACUUCCUUUCUCCUUGUGGUUAUGUUCACUAGUGGUUUACCUAUUCAGUUUUUUCCUUCCAAAAACCCAGCUUUUAGAUUUAUUAUUUAUUCUGUUGAAUGAUUUUCUUACUGUUAUUUUUGGCUUUGUUCUUUAUUAAUUCCUUCUUUUGUUUUUUUUCUGUUUCUUUUGUUUUUUUUUCUCUCUCUCUUUUUCUUUUCUGGCUCUUCAUAUAUGUGUUGUCCAUUGAGCAUGGUUUAAGCCAUGUCUCUUGGUUUCUUUUUUAGAGAGUCUCGCUCUGUCGCCCAGGCUGGAGUGCAGUGGUGAGAUCAUGGCUCACUGCAGCCUUAACCUCCAGGCUCAAACAAUCCUCUCAUGUCAGCCUCCCAAGUAGCUUGGACCACAGGCAUGCACCACCAUGUUUGGCUAAUUUUUACAUUAAAUUAAAAAAAUUUUUUUUUCGGUAGAGUCAGGGUCUUGUUGCAUUGACCAGGUUAGUUGUGAAUUCCCAGACUCAACCAGAUCCUCCUGCUUUGGCCUCCCAAAGUGCUGGAAUUCCAGGCAUGAGCCACUGUGCCUGCCCGACAUGUGUUAAUUUUAGUUUGGUUUCCUUUGUGACCCAAGGAGUUGCUAGAGUUUCAAAAUUUCCAGGUAGGGGUUUUUUUUUUUUUUGUUUGGUUUGUGGCUUUGUCAAUAAUUCAUAUUUUUAUUGUAUUUUGAUUAGAUUAUACUUUUUUAUUUUUGGGGAUUUUUGAAGUUUACUUUGUCUCUGAUUAUAUAGUCAGUUUUUAUGAACAUUCUGUGGGCAUUAUAAAAACAUAUUUUUGUUUUUAUGGUACAGAGUUAAAUGUAUUGAUCAAGUUUACAUGACUAAAUAAUAAUAUCUAUCUUUUUACCUUUUCAGUCCAUGUGCCCACACAUCAUGGCCUGAGAGGUAGAUGAAAUACUGUGAUUCUGAUAUGUUGCAUCUCACCUAAUAACUACUACAAUUUCAGCUUUCUAAAUAUUACUGUUGCAUUAUUUGUUGUACAGAUAAAACUUAAGUGUGAAUUACAUACAUCUUUUAUCAUUAUAAGGUGUUGUUCUUGGUCUUAUUUAGGGCCUUUUGGCCAGAAUUCCAACUCAUCUGGUAUUAAUGAUUAUAUGAUUGCUGCUUUUUUUUUUUUUUUUUUUUGAGAUGGAGUCUCGCUCUGUCACCCAGGCUGGAGUGCAGUGGUGCAAUCUCUGCUCACUGCAGCCUCCACCUCCUGAUCCUGGGUUCAAGCGAUUCUCCCGCCUCAGCCUCCCAAGCAACUGGGAUUACACAAGUGCAUCACCACACCUGGCUAGUUUUCUGUAUUUUUAGUAGAAACAUGUUUUUCUUUACCAUGUUGACCAGGCUAGUCUUGAACUCCUGACCGCAAGUGAUUCACUCGCCUUGGCCUCCCAGAAUGCUGGAAUUACAAAUGUGAGCCACCGCACCCAACUGCUGCUUUCUUUUUAUUUGCAUUUUGCUUGGUAUACCUGUGCACUUUAUUUUAUAUUUUGUCUUUCAGAAUAAUUUUAUUUUAGUCGAGUCUCUUUUAUAUACAAUUGACUUGAACUUUACUCAGACCUAUUCUGAAAAUAUGUUUCUUUUAAUGAAAGUAAGGCUGCUUAUGAUUGGCUUAUGUUCUGUAAUGUUUUCCCUUUUGUUUUAAUUCCUAAAAGUCUUUCAUUAUGUGGUCUUCUAUAUUUUUUAAUUUAGUGUGCAUGCAUGAGUGUGUUUUCUGAUUUUAGGAAGAUUUGUAUUUUUAUUUUAGGACUUUUUUUUUUUUUUUUUUUUUAUUUUUAAGAUGGGGUUUCACCCUGAUGGCCAGGCUGGUCUUGAACUCCUGACCUCUGGUGAUCCACCCACCUUGGUCUCCCCAAAUGCUAGGAUUACAGGCGUGAGCCACUGCACCCGGCCAGGACUUUAUUACUGUAAGUUUGUUUAGUGAUUAUUUAGACAGUCUCUGUUGCUUUCUGCCAUGAGCAAUGGUAAGAUUAGUUUGUGGUCUCUUCUUACUCUCUUUGACUAAAGAGAGUAACUUAUCUGAUAUUAAUUUUUCUCCCUUGAUGUUUUCCUUUUUACUCUUAAAUGUGCUUAUUCUUGUAUUUGAGUGAUAUUUAACUUUCAGCAUUACAAGUAGGCAGCAGCACAAUUGACUUUGUCAGCUUUUCCAUCCCCCCCCCCACUUUAUUUUUAUGUUGGUGACAUAUCCUGAUCAGGAAUAAAACAUUUACAUUAAUAUUUCUCACUUAAUGCACUUAUUUGCUGAGGUUCAUUUUCUUUUUUUCUUUCCUUUUUUUUUGAGACUGAGUUUCUGCUCUAUUGGCCCAGACUGGAGUGCUGUAGCACGAUCUGGGCUCACUGCAACCUCCACCUCCUGAGUUCAAGCAAUUCUCCUGCCUCAGCCUCCCGAGUAGCUGGGAUAAUAGGCAUGUAGCACCACGCCUGGCUAAUUUUUGUAUUUUUAGUAGAAAUGGGGUUUCACAAUGUUGGCCAGGCUGGUCUCAAAUUCCUGACUUCAGGUGAUCUGCCCACCUCAGCUUCCCAAAGUGCUGGGAUUACAGGUGCCACUGUGCCUGGCCUUAAGUUCAUUUUCUAAUAGUUUUCUCAAAAACCGUUCUUGGGGAAAAAAUACGCCUUGAAUUCCUCUAUGUUCAGAACGAUGGAGUUGGGCUAUUUUACUUGAAUGGCACCUUGACUGGUUAUAGUAUAGGAUCCACAGCUCAUAGUUUUUAACCCUAAAUAUCUUGUAGGUGUUGCUCAGGGGUCAUUUGGCAUUUGGCAUUACUGUGGUGAAAUCUGAGGCCAGGCUGCCUUUUUUUCCCCCCCUCCCUUAAAAUUGACUUGGUUAUUUAAAUGGCUGCCCAAGUAAUUCUUUCUCUAAUCAAGUAAAUGAAAUAACUUUCCUAGGAUAGAUAUGUGUUGGUGUUGAUCAUUCUGGGUCAUUUUUCAUGCCCUUUCAAGAAAUUUUCAUAUUGAAAAAUUCAGGGAAUUUUUUGGAUUUUUUUUCCCUCAAAUAUAUUUAAAUGCUAGUUCUGUUCUCUUGUUUCGGUUUUCUUUUCUAAGUACUCCGAUGAUGCAUAUGUUGACUGUGCUUUGCUUAUUUUCUGGCUAUUUUCUUCUUACCAAUCACUUUUUUCAGUGUCAUCUUUUUCUUACUCAGCAUUCUCUAAAGUCUUUUCCCUCUACUACGCUAUCAUUUCUUCUUUCAGUUCUUCCAGUUUUCUAAAAAGUCAUGGAAAACUGGCCAGAAUUUUCAUAUAUUUCAUGGCAGUAUGUUUCUGGUGAAUUCUGUUUGAUAGGUUUUGAGGAAUUUGUCCUUUUCUUUCUAAUUUUUUAUUUUUAUUUAUUAUUAUUAUUUAUUUUAUAUAGAGAUGGGGUCUCACCAUGUUGACUAAAUUGGUCUCAAACUCCUGACCUCAGAUGAUCCACUUGCCUUGGCCUCCCAAAGUGCUGGAAUUACGGGCAUAAAAGCCACCGUACCCGGCCUUCUUUCUCAUUUUUUUAAUUAAAAAAAAAUGGACAGUACCUUUGCAUUGAUGUUAUACUUACCCUCUUUUUAUUAUGUAUCAUGAGUUAGAUUUGCCCAGCCCUGUGAAUAACAAGUUUCUCUUUAAAGGGCAUAUUGUUGCUGUCAGUUCUGAUGUUGGUUGCUUUGGGGGCCAUUUUCCUGUUCUACAUUGGCACUGCAUUUCCUCAUGGAGCUUUUGCUCAGCCUUUGCCCUUCCUUUUGAGACACAAAGCUUUUGUUGUAUGUCAGGAAUAUAGGUCUAUCACUGAAAAAUAGAAUUUGAGGAUAAGUGGUCAAACUACAGAAAAACAAUGUCUUGAUCAUUGAAAGGAGUGUGUUGGUUGCAUUAUUGAAGAUCUUCCCUGUGUGGGCCAGCUUUCCCUUUUCUUUUCACUUUGAAUCCUGCUGUUAUUUACCUUGAAGCAAAUUUGGACAGAUUUGGUGGCUUCAAUCAGACUUUUUUUUUCAAAGUUCAUGUUUUCUUUACAUUACUAUCAUUCUAGCUUCCUUUAAAUGAAAAACGAUUUUCACCUUUAUUGGUGUCGGCCAUUACUUUUCCUGAGAAAAUAAGCCAGGAUAGGCUAGGGAUGUUGAAGGAAGCACACACCUCUGAAAUCUUAGGUUCUUGACAUCCUCUGGGUUUGGUGGGCUCCCUGUGGGAUUUGGAAAGCCAAGGCUUCUAUUUACAGAUCCGUAAAAAGAUGUAAUAGGGAGGGACUCGGACCAGGUUGAUGUUUCCUAGUUGGCUGUAGAUUUUUACUGAUCAGAAACGCCUUUCAUUUUGCAGGUCUUCUCUUGUCCUUCACUCCCAGGUGUAUUUUUACCCUACCUGCAGGAUUUAGCUUAUCCCUGAGAGGGGUGCUUUGAUCCCUAGGGAGGCUGGAGUAGAAAGAUAGUAAUCAAGUGCCAGUCAGUUUUCUGUCAUCUUAUUUCUCAUUCUUACAGACCCAAUAUAUUCACACAGCUCUUUCUUUUUUGAAUGAAAGUGAUGACUGAUAGUCCUCAAGCGGGGAUAUAGGGGAGUAAGGAGAGUUGAGUGUAGAGUGCAGGCUGGGAUAUUCUCCUGGAUAGGCAUUGAAGUGGUAUUAGAGGUAGCAAGUUCCUCCGAGUCUUUGGCACUUGGGGCAGUCGGGAACACUUUCGGAGAGGGGCCUUUUGGCAUCCUGGCCUCGCUCUCCACCCACACUCUCCCAGCCUGUUUGGGGCUCCUUUAGUCAGAUGCUCGUCCUCUCUGUGGCAUGCUGCGGAGAGGCCAAGGCAGGAGGAUGGCUUGAAGCCAGCCUGGACAACAUAGUGAGACCCCAUCCUCUACAAAAAAUAAAAUAAGCCAGGCUAGGGGCAUAUACCUGUAGUCCCAUCUACUUGAGAGGCUAAGGUGUGAGGAUCACUUGAGCCCAGGAAUUUGAGGAUCUCACCACUGCACUCUAGCCUGGGUGACAGAGUGAGACUAUAUCUCUAAGAAAAUUUAAAUAAUAAACACAGCAUAAAAGUAUUUAUAUAGCAUUUACAUUUUAUUAGGCAUUAUAAGUAAUUUGGUAUCUGUGGGGGGCAGUUCCUGGAACCAGUCUUCGGGAGGACUGUAUUUCCCUAAUGACUAAUGAUGUUGAACAUCUUUUCAUGUGCUUAUUGGCCAUUUGCAUAUCUUCUUUGGAGAAAUACCUGUUCACAACCUUUGCCCCUUUAAAACUGUAUUUGUCCUCUGGGCAUGGUGGCUCCUGCCUGUAAUUCUAACACUUUGGGAGGCUGAGGCGGGCAGAUCACCUGAGGUCAGGAGUUCGAGACCAGCCUGGCCAAUAUGGUGAAACCCCAUCUCUACUGAAAAUGAAAAAAAAAAAAAGUAGCCAGGUGUGGUGGUGGGUGGCUUUAAUCCCAGUUACUCAGUAGGUUGUGACAGGAGAAUCGCUUGAACCUGGGAGGUGGAGGUUGCAGGGAGCUGAGAUUACACCAUUGUACUCCAGCCUGGGCUUUGUAGUAAGACUCCAUCUCAAUAAAGAAAAUAAAAUAAAAUUGUAUUUGUCUUUUUUUUUUUUUUUUGAGUCAGAGUCUCACUCUGUUGCUAGGCUGGAGUGCAGUGGUGUGACCUGGGCUCACUGCAGCCUCCGCCUCCUGGGUUCAAGUGAUUCUCUUGCCUCAGCCUGCUGAGUAUAGGAUUACAGGGCUACACUGCCAUGCCCAGCUAAUUUUUGUAUUUUUAGUAGAGAUGGGGUUUCACCAUGUUGUUCAGGAUGGUCUCUAUCCCCUGACCUUGUAAUCUGCCUGCUUUGGCCUCCCAAAGUGCUGGGAUUGCAGGCAUGAGCCACCAUGCCUGGCCAUAUUUGUCUUUUUAUGAAUGAGUUGUAAGAGUUCUUUAUAUAUUUUGGGCCCACAUCUCUUAUCAGAUAGGUAAUUUGGAAAUAUUUUCUUCCAUCUGAGUUGUCUUUUCACUUGCUUAGUGGUAUAAUUUGCAGCACAGUUUUAAAGUUUGAUGUAGUUCAUCUUUAUAGGUCUUAAAGGUUUGAAGCAGUGUUUUAACUUUCAGUUGCAUUCUUUGUUCAUUAAAUAAUGAUGAAACAAAUCUCAAAAGACUAUCAUUGUAUCUCUUAGCCUUUUUGUUGUUGUUGUUGUUGAGACAGAGUCUUUCUCUGUCACCCAGGCUGGAGUGCGGUGGUGUGAUCUUGGCCCACUGCAGUCUCUGCCUCCUGGGCUUAAGCAGUUCUCCUGCCUCAGCCUCCCAAGUAGCUGGGAAUUACAGGUGUGCACCACCACCAUGUCUGGCUAAUUUUUUUUUUUUUUUUUUUUUGGUAGAGGCGGGGUUUCACCAUGUUGGCCAAGCUGGUCAUGAACUCCUGACCUCAAAUGAUCCACCCACCUUGGCUUCCCAAAGUUCUGGGAUUACAGACUGGAGUCACUGUGCCUGGCCUCUCUUAGCCUAUUAAUUUGGACUCCAGUGAGAUGUAGAAAUCCCCUUAGAUAUUUGCAUUUUGUUUUAUAGGUAAUUUGUAACAUAGCUAUACACACACAGGUAACUGAGAUUUCACAUUAAGUGUUUAUAUCUUUUUUUCCUUCAACUUUUAAAGUGUAAGUUCCGGGGCACAUGUGCAAGUUUGUUGUAUGGUAGACACAUACUGUGGUGGUUUGCAGCACAGAACAGCCUAUCACCUAGGUAUUAAGCCCAGCAUCCAUUAGUUAUUCUUCCUGAGGUGUUUAUGUCUAAAGCAUACAUAAACUCAGAUCAAGAUGGAGGACAUUCCCAACACCCCAGAAGCCUCCUUACCUAGGCCAAAUUUUAAGUUAGUAUCAAGGAAAGUAUGUAUGAAUCUCUUCUUUUCUUAGUUUUUAAAUAUGGAUGCACUCGGUAUUGCUUUAGCCAAAUGUUGGCUCUUUAGAUGAAUGUAAACAGAAUACUCUUCAGAGGUGAAAUGCUGCACUUAAUUCUUCAACAGAUUUUCCUGAUCUACCUUUUAGGAAAGUUUGCAGGAUUUUUUGUGAGAGAUUUUCUGAUUGGACUUCCUCUUUCACUCAAUUUUCUGUGUUUUUGUGAAAUCUGUCAGUAUGUUGCACCACUUGGUGGCGCUGUUGUGGUGGAAACAGCAGCAUCGUGGAAAAGUCAACAGGGCAUUUGGUUGUCGAUUUCACAGUAAAUAACCCCAAUCUUUUGUUUAUUAUAUUUCAUUUUUUUGGAAUCAUCUUCUGCUUUAGUAUUUUCUAUGAAGAAAUCCUUUUUAUUCUUUAAUUGAACCGUAACAGUGUCCUUUCACCUUCAUUUUUGUUCUAGGCAUUUUUGAUCACAGAGAUAAGAUUAAAUAGCUUUCAACAGUCAAAUUCUUUAGAUUUUAAAGAGAAAAAGAGCAAUAGACAUUUCUUUUAGAAAGCCAAUUGAUUAGGAGAUAAAAACCCGUAAGAAUUUUUUUCCCCUCUCAAUAACGGAAGUGUGUGUGUGUGUGUGUGUGUGUGUGUGUGUCUGCAUUCUUGUUUCUGCUUACUUGUAGUUAGUGACUGUUUACUAACUUGAUGAUCAUUAACUGCUAGCAGGAUACUUAAAUGUGUGAUUCAGGAGACCUUGAAAACAUAAACAAGGUUUUAUGAUUUAAGGGAAAAUAGUAUUCUUUUAAAGUGGUUCAUGGUUAAUUGUUGGUAAAUAUAAUUGUCACCAUCUUAUUUGAUUAUGGAAUUCAGUUUUCACAGGAAGGAUCUAACUGUUUUUCAGUUGCUUUUCAGAACACUCAAAUUAGAUGAAUUGUCCAUUUGGCUUAAAAUUUAACACAAAUUUGCAGUUUAUGUGGAUUAAAAUGUUUUAUUUUGUAUUAUUAAUGACUUUCAUGUGACUGAUGUGAUAUUUUGCACUCCAUCCCUUUUUGGAACUUGUGUAUCCUUAGGAAGGUAGAAAGCAUUCUAGCAGGACUAGCCUUGAACAACUAUAUAAUUGAUUAUUUACAACAUAACGGAUUUUAUUUUGUGAAGUAAUGGAUGAACAGACACAUGACUUCAAGAUUUAAAUAGAGCAGUGUGAUAUUUUAUAUCAACUAUCCUUUUUAUAGGGGUAGAGGAUUCUGAGAAAAUGCAGUAUCUAAGCUUACUUCCAUGUGACUGAUUCAAAAAGAAACAAAAAUCCAAAUACUGGAAUUACUAAAUACCUGGAAAAGCUUAAAUGAGUUAAGCUCUCUGAGGAGAAUCCUUAACUCAUUUUUAAAAUCCCUAUUAAAGAUGAAAGCAUUUUCCUGUGUUGUUACCUCAGUGACCUGUACCUGAACAGGUAGCACAAAACUGUCUUGCUAUAAAAUGCAUAGCUAGCCAGGCACAGCGGCCCACGCCUGUAAUCCCAGCACUUUGGGAAGCCGAGGUGGGCGGAGCACUUGAGAUCCGGAAUUCAAGAUCAGCCUGGCCAACAUGGUGAAACCCUGUCUCUAUUAAAAAUACAAAAAUUAGCCAGAUGCUGUGGCAGGUAACUGUAGUUCUAGCUACUCAGGAGACUGAGGCAAGAGAACCUGGGAGGUAGAGGUUGCAGUGAGCUGAGAUCAUGCCAUUGCACUCUGACCUGGGCAACAGAGUAAGACUCUGUCUCAAAAAAAAAAGAAAAAGAUAGCUAUGUGUGCCUUUUUUGGGGGGGACACAGAAAAGGUCUCAAAGUAGAUUGGGCUACUUGGAAGAGAAAAUAAAGUGAAGUGCAAGGGACAGACCAAUGAACAGAAGAAAAGUGAAAUGAUCUUAGGCUAGGUAGCAUGAGGAAGGAAAAAAGAAGAAAAGUGAAAUGACAUAGUUUAAGAAUUUUUGAUCUUGUGUUAUCUCAAAGUUUGUUGAAAAAUACAUAGAAGAUCUCUAUUGAGUCCCUUGCCCAACUUCCACUGGCCCAUAGAAACUAUAAUUUUGAACCAACAGAUCUCUUCGGCAUGUGCAAUUGCAUUUUUCCUGUUUUAACAAUGGCUGUGCUAAACGAAGUGGUGAAGCCCAAAGACUUAUUUUUGACUUCACUCUAAGACUCUGAGAAAUUACGUAGUCCUUCCUGAAACCACUAAGAGGAAAAAUGUCUGUGACGUUGCAUACAGAUGUAGGUGAUAUUAAAAUUGAAGUCUUUUGUGAGAGGACACCCAAAACAUGUAAGAAUUUCUUGGCUCUUUGUGCCAGUAACUACUACAAUGGCUGUAUAUUUUACAGAAAUAUCAAGGGUUUCACAGUUCAAACAGGGAGGUCCAACAGGUACUGGAAAAGGAGGUAACAGUAUCUGGGGAAAAAAGUUUGAGGAUGAAUACAGUGAAUAUCUUAAGCAGUGUUAGAGGUGUUGUACCUAUGGCUAAUAAUGGCCCAAACACUCAUGGAUAUCAGUUCUUCAUCAUCUAUGGCAAACAGCCACAUUUGGACAUGAAAUACAAUGUAUUUGGGAAGGUAAUAGAUGGUCUGGAAACUCUAGAUGAGUUGGAGAAGUUGCCAGUAAGUGAGAAGACGUAUCGACCUCUUAAUGAUGUGCACAUUAAGGACGUAACUAUUCAUGCCAACCCAUUUGCUCAGUAGCUGUAAUAGACCUGGACACAUAACUUGACAGACUGCUGGAACACACUUACUGUGGUUUAUCCGGUUUUAAUUAUGUCAGAGAUUACAUCAUCCUUCUGCUUGUUCAUAACUAUGAUCUUCUGUGAAAUGGUGGUACCAAGGGGCGCCCAACAGCUUUUAUUCCCGUUCUUAAAGCAUAUUUUUUAUUAUGAUUAUCCAAAAUAUUUUAGUUUUAAUACAGAAAAUAUACUGUUUAAUUUUUGUUACAUAUAGAGAUUCAUUUUUAAAUGCUGAGCCUCAAGUGCAGGCGUUUUUGAACAGCCCAAUCACGUACUCCUACCACAGCAAGUCCAUAUCCUGGAAGUGUUAUUUUAUAAUAAAAUAAAAAAUGUUUUAAAG